GUCCUCGUAGCUCAGGUGGAUAGAGCGGCUGCCUCCUAAGCAGCAGGCCGCAGGUUCGAGUCCUGCCGAGGACA
rnacentral:tRNA from 1 species